AGAGUUUGAUCCUGGCUCAGAUUGAACGCUGGCGGCAUGCCUUACACAUGCAAGUCGAACGGCAGCACGGGUGCUUGCACCUGGUGGCGAGUGGCGAACGGGUGAGUAAUAUAUCGGAACGUACCCUAGAGUGGGGGAUAACGCAGCGAAAGUUGCGCUAAUACCGCAUACGAUCUACGGAUGAAAGUGGGGGAUCGCAAGACCUCAUGCUCAUGGAGCGGCCGAUAUCUGAUUAGCUAGUUGGUGGGGUAAAAGCCUACCAAGGCAUCGAUCAGUAGCUGGUCUGAGAGGACGACCAGCCACACUGGAACUGAGACACGGUCCAGACUCCUACGGGAGGCAGCAGUGGGGAAUUUUGGACAAUGGGCGCAAGCCUGAUCCAGCAAUGCCGCGUGAGUGAAGAAGGCCUUCGGGUUGUAAAGCUCUUUUGUCAGGGAAGAAACGGUGAGGGCUAAUAUCCUUUGCUAAUGACGGUACCUGAAGAAUAAGCACCGGCUAACUACGUGCCAGCAGCCGCGGUAAUACGUAGGGUGCAAGCGUUAAUCGGAAUUACUGGGUGUAAAGCGUGCGCAGGCGGUUAUGUAAGUCAGAUGUGAAAUCCCCGGGCUCAACCUGGGAAUUGCAUUUGUGACUGCACGGCUAGAGUGUGUCAGAGGGGGGUAGAAUUCCACGUGUAGCAGUGAAAUGCGUAGAGAUGUGGAGGAAUACCGAUGGCGAAGGCAGCCCCCUGGGAUAACACUGACGCUCAUGCACGAAAGCGUGGGGAGCAAACAGGAUUAGAUACCCUGGUAGUCCACGCCCUAAACGAUGUCUACUAGUUGUCGGGUCUUAAUUGACUUGGUAACGCAGCUAACGCGUGAAGUAGACCGCCUGGGGAGUACGGUCGCAAGAUUAAAACUCAAAGGAAUUGACGGGGACCCGCACAAGCGGUGGAUGAUGUGGAUUAAUUCGAUGCAACGCGAAAAACCUUACCUACCCUUGACAUGUCUGGAAUCCUUGAGAGAUCAGGGAGUGCUCGAAAGAGAAUCAGAACACAGGUGCUGCAUGGCUGUCGUCAGCUCGUGUCGUGAGAUGUUGGGUUAAGUCCCGCAACGAGCGCAACCCUUGUCAUUAGUUGCUACGAAAGGGCACUCUAAUGAGACUGCCGGUGACAAACCGGAGGAAGGUGGGGAUGACGUCAAGUCCUCAUGGCCCUUAUGGGUAGGGCUUCACACGUCAUACAAUGGUACAUACAGAGGGCCGCCAACCCGCGAGGGGGAGCUAAUCCCAGAAAGUGUAUCGUAGUCCGGAUUGUAGUCUGCAACUCGACUACAUGAAGUUGGAAUCGCUAGUAAUCGCGGAUCAGCAUGUCGCGGUGAAUACGUUCCCGGGUCUUGUACACACCGCCCGUCACACCAUGGGAGCGGGUUUCACCAGAAGUGGGUAGCCUAACCGCAAGGAGGGCGCUCACCACGGUGGGAUUCGUGACUGGGGUGAAGUCGUAACAAGGUA
rnacentral:rRNA from 1 species